rnacentral:rRNA from 1 species
ACAAAAAUGCACAUACUGUGAGCUCGAUGAGUAGGGCGGGACACGUGGUAUCCUGUCUGAAUAUGGGGGGACCAUCCUCCAAGGCUAAAUACUCCUGACUGACCGAUAGUGAACCAGUACCGUGAGGGAAAGGCGAAAAGAACCCCGGCGAGGGGAGUGAAAAAGAACCUGAAACCGUGUACGUACAAGCAGUGGGAGCACGCUUAGGCGUGUGACUGCGUACCUUUUGUAUAAUGGGUCAGCGACUUAUAUUCUGUAGCAAGGUUAACCGAAUAGGGGAGCCGAAGGGAAACCGAGUCUUAACUGGGCGUUAAGUUGCAGGGUAUAGACCCGAAACCCGGUGAUCUAGCCAUGGGCAGGUUGAAGGUUGGGUAACACUAACUGGAGGACCGAACCGACUAAUGUUGAAAAAUUAGCGGAUGACUUGUGGCUGGGGGUGAAAGGCCAAUCAAACCGGGAGAUAGCUGGUUCUCCCCGAAAGCUAUUUAGGUAGCGCCUCGUGAAUUCAUCUCCGGGGGUAGAGCACUGUUUCGGCAAGGGGGUCAUCCCGACUUACCAACCCGAUGCAAACUGCGAAUACCGGAGAAUGUUAUCACGGGAGACACACGGCGGGUGCUAACGUCCGUCGUGAAGAGGGAAACAACCCAGACCGCCAGCUAAGGUCCCAAAGUCAUGGUUAAGUGGGAAACGAUGUGGGAAGGCCCAGACAGCCAGGAUGUUGGCUUAGAAGCAGCCAUCAUUUAAAGAAAGCGUAAUAGCUCACUGGUCGAGUCGGCCUGCGCGGAAGAUGUAACGGGGCUAAACCAUGCACCGAAGCUGCGGCAGCGACGCUGAUGCGUUGUUGGGUAGGGGAGCGUUCUGUAAGCCUGUGAAGGUGUGCUGUGAGGCAUGCUGGAGGUAUCAGAAGUGCGAAUGCUGACAUAAGUAACGAUAAAGCGGGUGAAAAGCCCGCUCGCCGGAAGACCAAGGGUUCCUGUCCAACGUUAAUCGGGGCAGGGUGAGUCGACCCCUAAGGCGAGGCCGAAAGGCGUAGUCGAUGGGAAACAGGUUAAUAUUCCUGUACUUGGUGUUACUGCGAAGGGGGGACGGAGAAGGCUAUGUUGGCCGGGCGACGGUUGUCCCGGUUUAAGCGUGUAGGCUGGUUUUCCAGGCAAAUCCGGAAAAUCAAGGCUGAGGCGUGAUGACGAGGCACUACGGUGCUGAAGCAACAAAUGCCCUGCUUCCAGGAAAAGCCUCUAAGCAUCAGGUAACAUCAAAUCGUACCCCAAACCGACACAGGUGGUCAGGUAGAGAAUACCAAGGCGCUUGAGAGAACUCGGGUGAAGGAACUAGGCAAAAUGGUGCCGUAACUUCGGGAGAAGGCACGCUGAUAUGUAGGUGAAGCGACUUGCUCGUGGAGCUGAAAUCAGUCGAAGAUACCAGCUGGCUGCAACUGUUUAUUAAAAACACAGCACUGUGCAAACACGAAAGUGGACGUAUACGGUGUGACGCCUGCCCGGUGCCGGAAGGUUAAUUGAUGGGGUCAGCGCAAGCGAAGCUCUUGAUCGAAGCCCCGGUAAACGGCGGCCGUAACUAUAACGGUCCUAAGGUAGCGAAAUUCCUUGUCGGGUAAGUUCCGACCUGCACGAAUGGCGUAAUGAUGGCCAGGCUGUCUCCACCCGAGACUCAGUGAAAUUGAACUCGCUGUGAAGAUGCAGUGUACCCGCGGCAAGACGGAAAGACCCCGUGAACCUUUACUAUAGCUUGACACUGAACAUUGAGCCUUGAUGUGUAGGAUAGGUGGGAGGCUUUGAAGUGUGG